rnacentral:lncRNA from 1 species
UUCAAAUAGACUUUAUCAUCUUUAACACUUCACCUCUCCAUUGAAAAUAAUAUUCAUUACCUCUCAAAAAUAUUACAUAGAAAUAAAAUCAUUUAUUUGUAUUAAUAACAAACUUAUUUGCUCCACACGUGACCCAAAAUAUGAGGGUACGUAUAAGGCACUUUUGGUUCUCACCAGCUUUUUCUUUUUCUUCAAGCUUCAGUUCCUGCCAUAGUUAAUUUAUACCAUACCUCCUAGAGUUAGCUAGGGGAAGAAAAAAGUGACAAUAUAAAGUUAUAAUUUUCAAGCAUGAGGACGUGUUAGAUGUGUAUAUUCAUACAUAGACUAGAAGCUGAAAAGAAGAGCUUUAGAGAAUGGUUAGAACAAAUUAAUUAUUACAUCAGUGUCAAGAGUUGUGAAUCCUUGUUUUUCUCAUUGUAAAUCAUCAUUAAAAAACAUGAUCUUAGGAUUGUUGUCAUUGAUCAAAUUAGUUGCGGGGUAUUCUUCUUUCGUGACAGUUGGUACCAUCCAUGAACUCAAUCUUCCUCUCUUUGCCAUUCUGUUCUCCUGUCCUCUCUAUUUAUUUUCCUGCUUCCUCCUUACUGUCUACAUUUGGGGCCUCUCCAGCAUGCCAUAGUAAAUAAAUGAAAUUUACACAGGAGUGGGAUGCCAGGAAAUGUUUCAAUGCGGAAGAUUUACAUAACCAGAAUUUCUUGAGCGACAUCAUUGGAGCGCCUCUUAGGGCAUUUCUCGGUGUAUGCAUGAGGAAAUGGAGAAGGGUCAUCCACGGUUUCAUAAGCACUGGGCAAGAUGGGAGGGCUUCGCUUUCUUUGCUUACAAGUCCAAGGAAGAAGCAAACGAGGACCCAUUGCUAUGAAUUCUUCUAAGGCCACAAUGCAUCUUUUGUUAUGGCUGCCAAUAUCAAUGGUGAUAUAAGAAAAAACAAAACAAGUUUUGCUAGAAAAGAGUUCAUCUUUUUCCAAUUUUUUAGAUAUUAGCCAUAUAUACAAAAAUGUUGAAUAUUUAGAUAUAUGUGUUGGUUGCUCGCAUCAUUGAGAAUAUAUAUGGUGUAUAAAAAUCCUCCAUUGAAAAACAAAAUCUAAUUAAAGGAAUUACGAUACCAUUUGAAACUAGAAAUAUGCGCCGAAGGAAGCCAUUAAAAAGCUUUGUAAAAAUGGUUUACCUUUCCAUGUUCCAAGAAUUUUAAAAUCAAACUUUAAAAGAUCUACUGAAUAAUUUUAGCUAAAUGAAAAGUGUAAAAUAUAUACCUAUUUCCGACUCCCCUCAUGCUAUUGAACUUCAUGAAGUUAAGUGAACCUGAAAAUAUUACCAAGUAUAUAUUUUUAUUUCAUUCAGAACAAUAAUGAUAUUGAUUAGGUUAACAAAGAAAAUAUUUAAAUUAAUAAGAAUAAUACGUCGAAGAAACAUUUUAAAUAAAUAAGAGGAAUAUGUCACUAAAAUUAUUGAAAGAAAUAAAAUGAACACUAAAAUCAAAGUAAGAGAUAUUAUAAACCAAGUUUAAAAUUCUUAUUUCACCAACAUCUAGUUAGUUAAAAUAUCUGUAAUGUACAGAUACUCUAUUAGUAUGAUAAAAGCUAGCUUUUUAUUAGAUUAUAAAAAAUUAUGCUAAGAUUUGAUGUUGUUCCGUGAAAUUACAAAGAGAUUAUUAUCAUAUGUUUAAAACAACAUAUUAACCUACUUAAUGUUGAAUGUAAUUGCAUUUACAUACCUUCUAUUUAGCACCAACAAGGCAAAGUUCUCUUCAAAUACAUAUUUUACUCUAUCAAGAAAAACUAGAAAGAAAAAGCUAUACAUUUCAAAUAAUUCAUUUAAAUAUAGCCAAUGAAAUGUUCUUACUCUAUUUUUUUUAUUUUAAUUCCAUGCAUUUAAAUAAAUCUUUCCAUUUUUGAGGGUGCUAAAGCUUUCCUAAAACAGCCCUAAAUACUUUAAAAGAGUUGUUAGUAUUUUUGAAGCCUAUUUUUAUGUGUUUUUUCUUUAUUUUGUGAAAAAACUCAUAAACAAACUAUUAGAAAAUGAACACUCUCAAGAAGCCACUUUAGUGGAAAAAGAAAAAGAGAAAAAAAAAACAUCUAUAAUUCCAAAGAAAAGAGGCAAAACACAGGGGUAUUUAACAUAAUAUCCAAAGUUUUAUUCUAAUUUCCUUCACUUUCUCAUCAAGCAAAUAAAAUUUAACAAAUAAUAUAAACAUACCUUUACAUGGUGCCAUUCAAGUAGUUCUUGGGAAAAGAUCUGCAUAUAUACAUGAAAAGGAGUUCAAGGGUGUUAAGAAAUUUUAGGGAUUUUAAAGAUGGGAACACAUAAAAUGUUUGACUAACUUUGAAGUUUAAAAUGAAUUCUAUAGUGAUGGUUCUAAGAUGUUGUGUGUAGAAUGUCAUAAUUAAUAUAGUAAAAAUCCAUCUUUGGUCCAAAUAAAGUGAAAAGAAAAUGGUUCUCAAAAGAAGCCUAGACUUAAAGUUCUUAAAUGUAUUGAAACUAAAGCAUAGCAUGAAACAUCAAAGUUUGUGAAGCACUAUGCUAUAUAUAUUCAAGUAAGUUUGUGAAUUGCACAAAUUGAUAAGGAAAAUUGACUGGAUAGACUCACUAAAAGAAGAAAUAAGUCUUAUUUAAAUCUUUAAUUUAGGUCUCUUUCCCAAUCACAUCUUUGAAUGGAUAGACUCACUAAAAGAAUAUGAGGAGCUUUUUGAUAGUGUCAUGUAUCAAUAAGAAAUAUGCAUUGAGAAACCUAAGACUGCAAGUAGAGAUAUGCUCAUCUAACUAAGAUAAGUUGUCGUAGUUGCGAAAUCGUUUCCUUAUUCUUCUUUCCUUUUCCUAAUUUUUGGAUAUAAAUUUGUGAAAGGUCAAUAGCCUCAUUGACAUGUGUGCAUGUGUGUUUAAUAUAUAUAACUUUUUUUUUUUUUAAUGAAGUUAGAGGUAAGAAUGUUAGUUUUUGGUAGGUUCACUACAAUUUUGUGUCCUUUUUAUAAAUAUGGGUUGCUAACAAUGUCUAGAUGGCAUAAGUGAUUCUAAUUUCACAAUAGAAGAGAGAAAUCAAUUUCUUGUCCAGUUUAAUUUGCAUGGGCACUAAUUUCAAAUUAUUUCACUGGCUAAAUGGAACAACCCUAUCAAGAGGAUAAGGAGCUAUUUUAUAGAUCCAAAGCCCUUCGAACCUACAGGUUGAUAAUGGAAACUUAGCUUUGCUUGCCAAAGAUUUCCUUACUAGGUUGUAAGAUGAGAUUAUGGAGAUGACUAAUCAUGCAUCCAUGAUAAAGAUCUAGCCAAAUGCUAGAUUUUCUUAGUUGGAAGCAAGCUUCUACUACAUAAUAAUUCCAUCUUGAGGAACUUAAUACUCAAUCUUAAGGAUAUAAAUGGCUAUUAGGAAGCCACAUCAUUGAAUGCCUAGUAGCCAAUUUAAAUCAAUAUAGGGUGAUUCUUAGCAGCGUGAUUGUUAUUUCAAUUAUUGAGAAAGGCCAAUAACAUUACAUUAUUUAAAACCAAUGUCCUUAUUUAACCAAGUACUAGAACUUGUAAGAGUACAAAACAAAUUUAAUAAUAAAUGAUCCAAUAGUAAUGUGGAAGUUUCCAAUCAAUAAAAAAAUAACCAUUCAAGAUACUUCAAGUAUAUAAUCAUGUUGUCUUAAACUUGCCAUCAAACCCUAGGUCUCUAAAUCAUUGGUAUUAACAUUUCUUAUAAAAAGAUGAAGUCUAUAAUAAAAAAUAGUAGAAGUCAAUUAUACCUUAAAUCUUAAUAAUGCUACAACAAAAUUCCAUUUCCCACCUUCGAUCUCUAAGCCUUCCAAAAUUGAAGCAAAUAAAGAUCUAAGAAGGAAAUAACUUCAAAGAAAAUAAGUAUACUCACAUUGGGAUUCAUUGCAACACAAGCUACUUCUACAUUUGAGAU